rnacentral:rRNA from 1 species
CACGUAGGGCGCAAGCGUUGUCCGGAAUUAUUGGGCGUAAAGAGCUCGUAGGUGGUUUGUUACGUCUGCUGUGAAAACCUCGGGCUUAACUCGGGGCUUGCUUUCGAUACGGGCAGACUGGAGGUAUGCAGGGGAGAACGGAAUUCCUGGUGUAGCGGUGAAAUGCGCAGAUAUCAGGAGGAACACCGGUGGCGAAGGCGGUUCUCUGGGCAUGACCUGACGCUGAGGAGCGAAAGUGUGGGGAGCGAACAGG